CAGGUGUUGGAACACAGAAUCUUCUUGUUUGGCUUUUCUUUUCGCGACGAAUCUUUCUGAAUUCCUAAACCGCUGCCGCUCUACUCCCACUCUUCUGAUUCUCAAAUGGCAUCUCAAGGAUCAUUGCAGACGACAGAGGAAUUUCCAACUAGGAUUAAUUACCGUCCAAAUGGCAAGCCGCGGAUUGUAAUUGAACGCUACAUGCCUGAACUCGAAGCAUAUAUGGCAAGAGAUGCUGAACCAAUUGAUUUGAAUGUGAUGCGAGAUAUCAAUGAUCGAUUGACAGCUAUGCUAGAAGAUGUUAGAUUGAUGAAGAAACGACUCAUUCGUAUCAUGACUUUGCAGUUGCUAUGUCUCUUCGUUGCAUUUUCAGGUCUUUUUCUGAAGUUGAUCCGAAAGUAAGUAGUGUUAUAUCCGGCUUUCAUUGUUAAUUGUUCUUUAGAUGUUUGUGCUUCGAGUAGGUACAAUGUAUGGCUUGUGUUCCCAUCAUUGUGUAUGUUGUAAAAUUGUAAAUAAGUUCUUGCAAACAACUUUUUGGCCUUCUUUUUUACAAGUGCAAACAAGUUUUUGGCUUUGUUCAUUGAAAAGAGAAAGUUGUAGUUUUUCC